AACUCUAAGCGGUGGAUCACUCGGCUCAUGGGUCGAUGAAGAACCCAGCAAACUGUGCGUCAUCGUGUGAACUGCAGGACAUAUGGGACUACCCCUUGAAUUUAAGCAUAUUAAUUAGGGGAGGAAAAGAAAGGAUUUUCUUAGUAGCGGCG
rnacentral:rRNA from 1 species